UUAGUGUUGGGAAAAGAAAGAAAGUGUGAAGAUGGCGUCGAGCGGAGCGGUGCCGUUUUGGAGAGCAGCGGGUAUGACCUACAUCACAUACUCUAACAUAUGCGCCAAUCUCGUCAGAAAUUGCCUCAAGGAACCCUACAAGGCCGAAGCCCUCUCUCGUGAGAAGGUCCAUUUCUCUUUCUCCAAAUGGGUCGAGGGCAAGCCUGAAAAACCAAGUAUUCGCCUCUUCUCUUCUCAAUUUUCAUAAUCUGUUUCGUUUAAUUGCAUCCACAUAGAUUUCAUUUUAAUUUCAGAUGAAAAGGUUGUAAUCAUUGUUAUACGUUUUAUCUCUGUGUGGAGUAUGGGAAUAGAUUCCCUCGUUCGCCAAAAUCAAUAACCCUAAUUUUGGCAUGGCAAAUUUUGAUCUUUAUCUUCGUUUAUAUUCCUCGUAAUCAUGUCGUGGGAGGAUCAAUUCCCGUUUUGUGCGAAUUAGCUGUCACCAGAUCCUUCCCUUGGCAUGCUCCAUUUCUAUGUUUUUUAAUUGAUGAUAAAAGCUAUUGAUAUGGUUCGCUAACCUUUGUCUCCGUUUUUUAGUCUUAAUUACAUGUAUGUAUGUGUUUAUAUGCAUGUAUAUUGAUCGUGGCAUCCAUGUCUGCAGGUUCCUAUUUUGUGGGAACAAGAUUUGUUAAGCUAAAGCGUUGCACUUGUUAAGGAUUAAUGGAGAAUGCUUGUCAUAUUACUUUGAGUGUUUUCUAUUUUCACUUUCGAAGAAAACUGAAAAUGAAGCUAAAGUAUCUUUGGUUGAUCAUUAGAAAAUAAUUUAAGAAAAUGUAUUUAAAAUCAGGUUAAAAUUUCCAAUAAGUUGUUUUUAUUUUCUGUUUUCUGUGCUUUGUAUCACGGGUAACCAUGGGAGUCCCUUGUCACUGUUAUUGAUGAGCCAUUGUAAUAGUUUUUUAAAAGUAAACAGGAAAUUGAAAUUGAAAAUAAGAGGUGACAUCAUAGCACAUUUUCUAAAUCUUAACAGAUUGAAAAUAGAAAAUAUUUUCGCAAACCAAAACUUCACCUUGCUGCAAACACAAUUUAGUGAUACGGAUUAUUGGACAAUUGGUUCACCAGUGCUGGGUUCUCUUGUUAAGCUAAAGUUAUUUUGGUAUAUCAAUAGAAAAUAAUUUAAUACAAUAUUUGAAUAGGAUAUUGUGAUGUUUGGAUAAAACAUUCUAAACACACUUUUAAGUGCUGAACAAACUUUUGAACAAGGAUACUCUCUAUAUGUCCUUUACUGAAAUUCUAAACAUACUUCUAGAAGGGGUCCUUGAGUUGAUCAUAUUUUGCUGUUACUCAUCGCCAAAUGUUUUUCAGCUAACAUCAUGUUCGUGUAUUCUGACCAAAGUGUUCAAAUUUCUUUUUCAGCUGUUCGUUCUGACACCCCAGGGCAGUGAUUCGGAAUGCUGGAAGCAAUAAAUGCAUAAAUCAUUGAGAUCUGGAAGUUGAUUGUCAUUUUGAACCUUUUGUGGUCUUUUAUGUUUAAUUUCUUUGUUUUUUUUCGUUCCAUGAAAAAAAACAUUACUGGAUUUUGAUUCAGAUGGUUAUUCUUGUAAUAAUGAAGUUUAAACAAAUGAUUUUGAACUUAAUGACAAGUGGUUUUGCACUUCAAUCUGCUUCCAGGUCCUGAAAUGAGAAAGCUGCUCAACUAUGUUAAGCUGGGUCGUAAGUUUGUGAAAUAAUCCUAGAAUAAAUUGAAAUGAAUCGGGUUUUAUACAUUUUUUUACGAUAUUCGAAGAUUCAUAUA
rnacentral:lncRNA from 1 species